UACAGAGGGUGCGAGCGUUAAUCGGAAUUACUGGGCGUAAAGCGUGCGUAGACGGUUGCGUAAGUCGGAUGUGAAAUCCCCGGGCUCAACCUGGGAAUUGCAGUGGAUACUGGGGAGCUAGAGUGCGGUAGAGGGUAGUGGAAUUCCCGGUGUAGCGGUGAAAUGCGUAGAGAUCGGGAGGAACACCAGUGGCGAAGGCGGCUACCUGGACCAGCACUGACACUGGGGCACGAAAGCGUGGGGAGCAAACAGG
rnacentral:rRNA from 1 species